rnacentral:rRNA from 1 species
GAUGAACGCUAGCGGGAGGCUUAACACAUGCAAGUCGGGCGGCAGCACGGACUUCGGUCUGGUGGCGAGCGGCGCACGGGUGCGUAACGCGUAUGCAACCUGCCUUAUGCAGGGGGAUAGCCCAUGGAAACGUGGAUUAAUACCCCAUAAUAUUAGUAGAUCACAUGGUUUACGAAUUAAAAUUUUGGUGGCAUAAGAUGGGCAUGCGUCUGAUUAGCUAGUUGGUGAGGUAACGGCUCACCAAGGCGACGAUCAGUAGGGGUCCUGAGAGGGUUACCCCCCACACUGGUACUGAGACACGGACCAGACUCCUACGGGAGGCAGCAGUGAGGAAUAUUGGUCAAUGGGCGAGAGCCUGAACCAGCCAUUCCGCGUGCAGGAUGACGGCCCUAUGGGUUGUAAACUGCUUUUCUACGCCAAGAAACGGCGCGACGUGUCGCGAGUUGACGGUAGCGUAGGAAUAAGCAUCGGCUAACUCCGUGCCAGCAGCCGCGGUAAUACGGAGGAUGCAAGCGUUAUCCGGAUUUAUUGGGUUU